GUGUUACUGCUGUCCUCUGCUCUGCCCUUUGCAGGCACAGACAGAACCGGGCUUCCGCAGCUGCAGACUCCUGUUGUAAGAAGAGGAGAAUGUUGUACCCAAGAAAUAAGAUGUGAGCAGAACAAGGGGAGAUCAGAGGCAGUAAAGCCAAAUUUGGAUGGAAUUUAAAGAUUUGUCAUCCCACAAACACUGCAUGAUAAUGGAUUCCUGCUUGGGCUUUGCAUUUGCUAAAGGACAGUGGUGAUAGAAGAGGUAAGAACUGUGAGAGAAGAUGGCUUUAGGCUCCCAAAAGUUAUCUACCAGCCCCCAGCUGCAAGAACAUUAGUUUCAUGUUGCCAACAGGACAAGAGUGAGGGCAUUGGUCUUACUGCAAUGAGAGAAAGGGGCCUGAAGUUAAGGACUUUUUAUUCUAUUUAUCCACCAACAGGAUGUAUGAGCAAACCAGAUAUUAAAAAGAUAAUUUAGAAAGCACAUUACACAUUUACCUUUCAUGGAACUCUUAAAUUAUUUGUGUUUCUCUUCAGUAGCUUCAAAACUGCAUUGAGCACUGGAGAUGAAAUAGAAGAGUUUCUAUUUGUGGAGCUUUGAGAUUUCUCUUCGAUGUUCCAUUCUUUCAAUUUUCUUCUUGUCCAGUAAAGUUCUAAUUCUUGUUUAUAUCAGUCUUUGUUGUCAUGGAAAUAUCUGAAGGCUUUGAACCUACAAUCAUUAUGUGUUUAUUGUGGAGAGAAGAAGAGACUGGAAAACAGACUGUAAGGUAGAAAUUAAUUUUAAAAUGAUGCACCUCCAAAACUCAGAGAAAAGCAAAUUCAGGGUUUUUUUAUUGUAUCCAGGGACAGAAGGUGUUUUGACUGCUGUUGUAAAUGUGGUUUAGAGCAGGAGGUAGCACCUGGUGUAUGCUUUCAAAGGUUAUGGUUUAGCAACUCUCAUCACUGAGGAGUGCUGUUGGAAUAGCAGUAAUCCCACUUAAUAAAGUAAAACACAGAAUGAGCUCAAAUUACCUUACAGAUGUUUAUAUAGCAGUAAUAUCUGCAAGCAGACUUCAAAACACUGCUAGUUUAUUAAUCAGCAAAGUCACUAAUUCUGAGGUUUAGACUCAGCUCACUGGGUGACACCUGGGCAUUGUGUCCCUCUUCCUCAGACUCACUCCCAACUCCAGAGAGAGAACACAAUCCCUUGGUGCAGUGCUUCCACCCCUGCCAUGGGCAAGGACACCUUCCACCAUCCCAGCUGCCCAUCCUGCCUGGCCUUGGGCACUGCCAGGGAUCCAGGGGCAGCCACAGCUGCUCUGGGCACCCUGUGCCAGAGCCUCAGCACCCUCACAGGGAACAAUUCCUUCCCAAUAUCCCAUCUAAUCCUGCCCUCUGGCAGGCUGAGUCCAUUCCCCUUUGCCCUGUCAUUCUGUGCCCUGGUGAAAAGUCCUUUUCCAGCUCUCUUGGAGCCUCUUCAGGUCCUGGAAGAUGCUGUAAGGUCUCCCAGAGCAUUCUCUUCUCUAGGCUGAACAAACAUCUUCUAAUGUAGUUUGGUAAUGGGUAAAGAUCAGAUGUUUUGCUACUAAAUAAGAAUUCCCAGUGAUUAAAUAAUUGUUAAAGCCCAGAAACAUGAGAAGUACCUCAAGGGAAACGCUCAGAAUUUUGUCCUCUGGUCACAAGAUCAUUUUCAGGGAUUUCUUCAGCCUACUGCUUCCAGAUGCUGCUCACCAGCUGGGAUCUGGAAGCCAGUGACAUGGAAUUACACAACAUGGCAUUGCUCAAUGGCUUGGAUUUUGUCCUUUGCAUUGCAACCAUCUUUGCCAUUUAGUGGAUUAUAUCUGAUACCAAUCAAUGUCAGGGAAAUGAUCUAAGACAGGGCUGAUAUGGAAGCCAUAGGAUGACACCAAUAAUCACUGUGAGACUAAAUAACUAUUCAGUAAAAACGUUUUAUAUAAAAGUCAUGUAGAAAAAUUUACAAUAUUCACAUGUUAACACAAUCUAAUUUGCUACAUAUGUCAUUCAGCAUAAAGUGAGAUGAAAAGUGUGAGUCAGGACACAGCACAAACAGAACUUGCUCUAUUUUUCCAUUCUUCUUUAAAGGUGUCCUGUCUGAUAUCCCUGGAUAAUCUUCCCCUAAUAUAACAUCUGGCAAACAUGCCUUCAGAUCACUCAGAAAAUUACUAUUUGGUGUGAUUCCUGUUGCAAUAUGCCCUGCAUGCAGUGAUCAAAUCUGAUAGCAGGGGUCAGUCCUGUGCUGAAAGCACCAAGCCCAGUCCAUGUGCAAGGAGAGCCUACAAAAGUCAUUUCUCCAAGGUAGCAGAUAUACAGGUAUGUAGGGAAUGGCUCUGUUCUCCAGCCUUUCCAGCUGGGAGAAAAUUUCUGAAUUAAACACUGAAAUCAGAGUGAAAACUGCAGAAAUGUUUUCUGUUCUCUGUCCAAACAGAUGAUUUGAGAAGGAGGAAGACCAAAGUGUUCCAGUAAAUGGUGAAGAAUUUCACAUAGUUGAUUGCCACUGAACACAGCACGUGUGACACUGUUAAACAGCAGGCAGAAGUUAAACCUCAUUAUUUUCAGCUUACUCUGGUGUUUCUUGGCUCUAACCUGCCAAAAGAAGGGUAUUCCUGAAAUUCUUCUCUUGCUGGU